GACGAACGCUGGCGGCGUGCUUAACACAUGCAAGUCGAACGGAAAGGCCCUGCUUGCAGGGUGCUCGAGUGGCGAACGGGUGAGUAACACGUGGGUGAUCUGCCCUGCACUUCGGGAUAAGCUUGGGAAACUGGGUCUAAUACCGGAUAGGGCUACGGCCUGCAUGGGUUGUGGUGGAAAGCGCGGUGUGUAAAAAGCACUGUGCGGUGUGGGAUGGGCCCGCGGCCUANCAGCUUGUUGGUGGGGUGAUGGCCUACCAAGGCGACGAC
rnacentral:rRNA from 1 species